GCCGGGCGUGGUGGUGCAUGCCUGUAAUCCCAGCCACUCAGGAGGCUGAGGCAGGAGAAUCGCUUGAACCCAGGAGGUGGAGGCUGCAGUGAGCCAAGAUGGCGCCAUUGCACUCCAGCCUGGGUGACAGAGUGAGACUCUGUCUCAA
rnacentral:SRP_RNA from 1 species